UACGGAGGGUGCAAGCGUUAUCCGGAUUCACUGGGUUUAAAGGGUGCGUAGGUGGGCAGGUAAGUCAGUGGUGAAAUCUCCGAGCUUAACUCGGAAACUGCCGUUGAUACUAUUUGUCUUGAAUAUUGUGGAGGUAAGCGGAAUAUGUCAUGUAGCGGUGAAAUGCUUAGAUAUGACAUAGAACACCAAUUGCGAAGUCAGCUUACUACACAACGAUUGACGCUGAGGCACGAAAGCGUGGGGAUCAAACAGG
rnacentral:rRNA from 1 species